GGCGGGCCGGAGGGACGAGGGCGGGCGAGAGGCGCGCGCUGGGAUUGGCGCCGAAGACCGGACCCUCAGCCGCUAGGGGAUGUUGCAGGUCUCUGCUCUUGUAAGACUUUGGCUGCAGAACCCAGGGCUGAACACCUCUAGAAAUGGAUCAAAAGACUCAACCAGCAAAUGGUGAAUCAAUGACAAGUCAAUAAUAAGGAGUCUGGAGAAGAUCAAAGGGGAGCUUGCAUAUGAGAUCUCUUUGGAAACCCUGAAGCAUUCUGUGAAUGAAAAGGGGUCCCAUUGGGAAGUAAAAAUUACUAUGAGUAUCAUGAUAGAAAAAGUCUAUUAUUGGAAGACCAUACACAAAUAUGGGAGAAGAUGAAGAGAAGUCCAAAAGGAAGACUUGAAGGAUCACAUAAAAAUCACUAGCCAGCCCUUCUGACACACUAUACAAAAGAACAAGUGAUAGCUUACAGGAAAAUCUGGAAGCUAAGCAUGUCUAGAUGCUGAAGUUGUAUUAUGAAGGAGAGCUGGUCCAGAAUACAUGCAAGCUGUUGCCUCGACUUCAGGCGGUGGGUCUGCGGUAGCUGUUGAUCAGCAGGACCAGCAGUUUGGAAGAACUGGACACAAGGAACACAUCACAUUUGCGGAAACUCUAAGCCAAGGUUGCCCUGAGUGAGGGCGGUCAAGGAGAGCAGAGGAGCCUCGAGCACCGCGUUCUCCGUCUAUUUACAGGUUGAAAAGGACAAAGAAGGCAACACCUGGACUGAAUGUGCCUGUGCCUUGGUGUCAUUCCAGAACUUUGAACCAUUUACUUUUUUGUUUUCUCCCAACCCUGGCCACAAAUACUUUCUUUUCUUAUUAGCUUUUCAUUGAGAAAACUUGAGAAAGAAGUGAGACUUCAAGAGAUUGAAGUGUGUUAAGUAUGUCCACCCAACGUGUUUAAGAAUACUCUGCCAUUUUGCAAUUUCCAUCCUGUCCUUCCUUUAUGUCUAUUACUAUGGCUUUGGGUCUGGUGUUAACAUGUAAAAUGUGUGUGUGUGUGUGUGUGUGUGUGUGUGUUAAAUGGUUCUAUUAUUGGAGAAUAAUAUUUCUGAGAUGGCAUCUCGGGUGAGGUCAUAUUCUUUAAGGAGUUCUACUAAUUAUCUUGGUAUGUUUUGCCUGAAUAGAGAGAAAUACGUUUAUUCGCCAAGGUUUUCCUGACAAAACUGUAACUUUCACUUAAAGUUUGCUUUUCUCUGACUCUUAGACACCUCCUCCUUCCACCUCCAUAAACACACACACACACACAUUGUACAAUUCUGGAAUGUCAUUUUUUUAGAGUCUUCUAAAUCUUUUAACUCUUCUCUCUUUUUCUUUCUUUUUAAAAAAUUCCCAUUUUUCCUUCUUUUCCCAGGACCUGUAUGAACCCCACCCAGAGUGUCUCUCUAAUCCUCUUGUUUACUGCUCUAGUCAUGAAAUGUAAUUUAAUUUAUUCAGUAAGCUUUUUUUUUUUCCUUCUGAGAAUCUCAAAAAGGAAAAGUCAUGAAAAUUGCUUCUAUUGGUCAGAACUUCCACAUGUGUCAAAGCUCUGAUCAGGAAAGAGAAGAGAACCAAUCUUUCUUUUACAUGGGAAUUGAAUGAUUUAUACAAAUUAAUUUGAAAUUUGCGACAGAAAUAAGAUCCCUGGAAUUUUUCAGGUUUUUUUUUUUUCCUGAAAAGAACUAGUUCUUGAGGAUAUCAUCUGGAACAGAGAGUACAUUGUUGUUGUUGUUGUUUUUUUUUAAUAAUUAUGAAGAUGGCCUGAGUAAACCUCUGGUUCUAGAAAAUUCCUUUUUAGAGUUACUGUAAAUAUUGAACAGUGGUUCAUGAGUCAUGGGGAUAAACAAGUUUUGCACAAGUUAUUCACAUGUGCCUCAGUGAACAAAUUUUAUUUCAGAAAGGACAUGCCCUAUAGGAGUUAAAAUUAUGGUAUGCUGGGAAUUCCAAGAUGUCACCCGAAUCUGAAAACACUAUUGUGAUGCAGUACUGCUACCAUCUGCAUUUUUGGGGUCUAUUUUUUUUUUGACAAGGAAUCUGAGUCUUCUGGCAAGCAGGAUGCCAUGUCUUGGUGACUUCCGCCUGAGAGCACAUGCACAGCUUCCUGUUUUGGUCUGAUGGCUUCCCCUGGGCUUUCAUAGAUGCAAAAUUACUCACACAGAGAUGGGUUGCCCAUGCAAAAAAGUAGGUGUCUUAUUUUUGGAAAGCUUUAUUUCACAUUAUCGUUGUCGUUUUAUUCUACUAACUCUAUUUCCUCUUAUAUUUUACACUAACACUUAAAAUGUCAUUUCAACU